ensembl:snoRNA
AACCAGUGAUGAAAUUGAAUUCCGCCAUAUGAAUCCUUGUGAAAUUAACACAAUUCCGUUCCAUUUACUGAGGUU